rnacentral:lncRNA from 10 species
AGAAGAGUUAACAGCAGGCCUGAGAAGCUCUUCUUCACAGGGGUCUGGAAUUUGGGCACAUGCUUGGCACAGACUGUGUAUGUGACCAGCCCUCCAUAAAACCCCAGGGCGCUGAGUGUCUAAGAAGCUUCCCUGGCAGACAGCAUUUCACACACACGGCUCCAGCUUCUUCCCGUGGAGUCCACCAGGAGAGGACGUGGCCAGCUCACGCCUGAUUUCCUGUGGAAUUCAUCCCAUGCACCUUUUCUCUUUGCUGAUUCAGACUUAUAUCCUCUCUGUGUAAUAAUCUUAGGCGUGAAGACAAGUCUAUAGUGAGUCCUUCUAGCAAAUCGGUUACUCUGGAGGGGUCUUGGGGAUACCUCUCACGGCCCCUGAAUUUGUAUAAGCUUUAGGCCUCCAAAAUUUGAAUCGACCCAUGUGUGUACCCUAAAGCUGGAGUACGAGGGUCAGAGAACCAAAGGUGUGAGGUAGGAGUGGCCCCAUAAUCCUAAACCUGUAAUGCUGCCAGGUUGGAGGCCUGGUUCCUGAAGAUGAAUACUUCCACCAGGGAACACAGCAAAGGUUCCACUGAUCUUGAAGUAGCGGCUAUCACUGGCCCACUUUGGACACCUUAGGCUGAAGACCAACAUCGUCCUCAUUGUCCUGAGUUGCUACGGUCAAUGCUACACAACUGGGGUGGGCAGUCCACAGAGCUCCCUGGGCGUCUAGUCUUCCCGCAUGCGGCAAGGACUGUCAGUGGACAACCCAGUAAUGGCCAUGCGUGGUGGCGGGAGGCCGAGGCAGGUGGAUCACCUGAGGUCAGG